GGAGGGGUGGCUGAGAGGUCGAAGGCGCCCGCCUGGAGCGCGGGUAGGGGUUUUGUAGCCCCUCGAGGGUUCGAAUCCCUCCCCCUCCG
rnacentral:tRNA from 1 species